AUAUCAGUCAUGCAUAGCAUAUCAAUAAGCGGAGGAAAAGAAACUAACAAGGAUUCCCUUAGUAACGGCGAGUGAAGCGGGAAGAGCUCAAAUUUGAAAUCUUCAAGGUUUUACCUUGACGAAUUGUAGUUUAAAGAAGUGUUUUCUGUUGAAGUUUUGGUAAAAGUUCUUUGGAAUAGGACAUCAUAGAGGGUGAGAAUCCCGUAUUUGACCAUUACUUUCAGCUUUGUGAUACACUUUCAAAGAGUCGGAUUGUUUGGGAAUGCAGUCCAAAAUGGGUGGUAAAUUUCAUCUAAAGCUAAAUAUUGGCGAGAGACCGAUAGCGAACAAGUACCGUGAGGAAAGAUGAAAAGAACUUUGAAAAGAGAGUUAAACAGUACGUGAAAUUGUCAAAAGGGAAGCGUUUGACACCAGUGUUGUUUUCUCGAAAAUCAAUUAAAAAGAGUUGGAUUUUGUGUUGUAUUGACUUUAUCAGCUUUCUUCACUCUUUUCCAGCUUUUUUUAAUGCACUUUUCGUUUAACAAGUCAACAUCAGUUUCUUUUGUUGUAAAAAGGUCAUUGGAAGGUGGCUUUCUCUUCGGAGAAAGUGUUUAUAGCCUUUGACUCAUGCAAUCGGAGAGACUGAGGUCUGCAGCGUAGAUCCUUCGGGGUUAGAUACAUUUGUGCUAAGUUAUAGCUUUUCAUAGACAACUUGUUGACUAUGUUUAGUCUUGUAGCUUACUCGCUUAUGCUAUUUUACCUACGCUUAGGAUGUUGAACUCUAUCACACACAG
rnacentral:rRNA from 1 species